GACGAACGCUGGCGGCGUGCCUAAUACAUGCAAGUCGAGCGGACGGAUGGGAGCUUGCUCCCAGACCGUCAGCGGCGGACGGGUGAGUAACACGUGGGCAACCUGCCUGUAAGACUGGGAUAACUCCGGGAAACCGGGGCUAAUACCGGAUAACUCUUUCCCUCACAUGAGGGAAAGCUGAAAGAUGGCAUCUCGCUAUCACUUACAGAUGGGCCCGCGGCGCAUUAGCUAGUUGGUGAGGUAACGGCUCACCAAGGCGACGAUGCGUAGCCGACGUGAGAGGGUGAUCGGCCACACUGGGACUGAGACACGGCCCAGACUCCUACGGGAGGCAGCAGUAGGGAAUCGUCCGCAAUGGACGAAAGUCUGACGGAGCAACGCCGCGUGAGUGAUGAAGGUUUUCGGAUCGUAAAACUCUGUUGUCAGGGAAGAACAAGUACCGGAGUAACUGCCGGUACCUUGACGGUACCUGACCAGAAAGCCACGGCUAACUACGUG
rnacentral:rRNA from 1 species